AUUGAACGCUGGCGGCAGGCCUAACACAUGCAAGUCGAACGAGUGGCGGACGGGUGAGUAAUGUCUGGGAAACUGCCUGAUGGAGGGGGAUAACUACUGGAAACGGUAGCUAAUACCGCAUACCAUCAGCUGUGCCCAGAUGGGAUUAGCUUGUUGGUGGGGUAACGGCUCACCAAGGCGACGAGCCCUAGCUGGACUGAGAGGAUGACCAGCCACACUGGGACUGAGACACGGUCCAGACUCCUACGGGAGGCAGCAGUGGGGAAUAUUGCGCAAUGGGCGCAAGCCUGAUGCAGCAAUGCCGCGUGUAUGAAGAAGGCCUUCGGGUUGUAAAGUUCUUUCGUCAGUGAAGCGUUACCCGCAGAAGAAGCACCGGCUAACUCCGUGCCAGCAGCCGCGGUAAUUC
rnacentral:rRNA from 1 species